UCAGUACAUGCUACCAGCUAUCAAGUUUUAUAGGAGCUCAAGAUCAUCCUGGAUGUCUUUUUUUUGUUUGUUUUUUUUUGUUCCUCAGAGGUGGCAACCCCUGGUUUCAUGCCAUAUUCGUCUGAAGAAGAAAUACAAGUAAACAACCGAACAACUGAUGAAAAGCAUCCAGUCUUGAUCUGAAGACAUGAGAAGAUGGACAAUCCAACACUUCUUUUGAUAAUUUGUUCCAACAAUUAAUUUCUGAUGCAAGAGAAUCCUCACAGCCAACGUGAGAUAUCAGACUCACGCUAACAUGGAUCUAGAGGUGAUUUAUCUGAAGCCUGGAACUUUCACAACAGAAGUCUGGUAUUGGGAGAGAUUUGGAAGUGGGAUAACAUAAUGCUCUUAAAUACAAUAUGAGAAUAUAGCGAGACAAAACUAUUUUAACCACCACCACCACCACCACCAGUUGUUUAGAAUUUCAGUGCACCUACAUGUGCCAAAUAUACAUCUAAUGUAUAAUUAUAGGCUUUUAAUGGUUAUUACCUUAAUAAUCAUUCCAGUUCUGGUGCAUAGGAAAACUAAGUUCAAACAUUUUAUUUUUUCGUGUCUAAUCGCAUGGCAGUCACUGAAUAAAAAUCAGGGCUUCCAGAUAAACAGACAUCAAGUUCCACCUGAAAAUGUACUGCAUUCCCACACCUUUAAUGAAUCAUUCUAAUCAAUUGUUAAUUUGAAUCAUGCUCAGGUUCAAUGUUACUUGGCAUAAGUGCCACAUGACUAUUGUAAAUAAUUAGCUUCACCGACUUCACUAGUGCACAAAAUUAAAUGUCAAAAAAUGGUAUUCGCAUUUAUAUACAGUAUAAUUGCAUGCUGAUCAGUACAGCAUAAUUAAGGAUACUAAUGUAAAAUGUUAACUAAGAGCCUAAGUGUUUGCUGAAAAAUCAAUAGGAGCAAAGAACAAAAAAGAAGCUAAGCAAUGGGGGUUUAUUUUAUGCUGUAUAAAGUGAAGCGCUGAGGAAGCUUACAAAAUGCCUAUAAUGUACUUCAAUCAGUUAUGUAAAUGAACUCCUAUAGUGUAAGAAAUGGUCCUUCCCUCUCUGAACUAUGUAUUUUUUCUUGAGAUCCCUCAACACAUGAAGAAGUGCGGAUCUUGAUUGACUUAAUGUAUUUAAAAUUUCCCUUAUUGAGAACUGGA